GUUGCGCGGCACAUAGUUGAUGAAGGCAAAGCCGCGCGCCUGAUCGAUGGCGUGAAACAGCGGGUUCCAGUCAAACAUCGCCAGCAUGAAGGGCGGCAGGGUGUUGGCGACAAACAUUUUGCCCGAGGCAAUCAUAUUGGCGCGUG
rfam:Shimia marina strain CECT 7688 genome assembly, contig: 0006